rnacentral:rRNA from 1 species
UACGUAGGGUGCGAGCGUUGUCCGGAAUUAUUGGGCGUAAAGAGCUCGUAGGCGGUGUGUCACGUCGGCCGUGAAAACCUGCAGCUUAACUGUGGCUUGCGGUCGAUACGGGCAUCACUGGAGUUCGGCAGGGGAGACUGGAAUUCCUGGUGUAGCGGUGAAAUGCGCAGAUAUCAGGAGGAACACCGGUGGCGAAGGCGGGUCUCUGGGCCGAUAUUGACGCUGAGGAGCGAAAGCGUGGGGAGCAAACAGG